rnacentral:rRNA from 1 species
UACGGGGGGAGCAAGCGUUGUUCGGAUUUACUGGGCGUAAGGGGCGCGUAGGCGGCCAGCGCAAGUCAGUUGUGAAAUCUCCGGGCUUAACUCGGAACGGUCAACUGAUACUGCGCGGCUAGAGUGCAGAAGGGGCAACUGGAAUUCUCGGUGUAGCGGUGAAAUGCGUAGAUAUCGAGAGGAACACCUGCGGCGAAGGCGGGUUGCUGGGCUGACACUGACGCUGAUGCGCGAAAGCCAGGGGAGCGAACGGG